rnacentral:lncRNA from 15 species
GUUUGCAUUUUGUGUGUUCAUUGUCAGGAUGCGGAUCCUUAGUUCCUGAUUCUGGGAUGGCAGGAUGGCACAAGGAACUGUAUAUAAGAGCCAGACUUUCUCCUGUUCAGUACCCCAGACUGACAUUGAGAAGGAAGAAGAGAAGAUAAUUCUGCAACAGGUCAUCAUCUUAGACAUCUGCAUCAACUUCACCAUGAAGAUGCUAGCUGUGUCUGUACUUGUUGUAGCCAUGAUGGCUCUGACUCAUGGUGCUGACUCAUGUGAUUUCCUGAAAGAGUUUGGUGCCAUGAAAGAAAACAGAGAGUUAUGGAAACCAGACUGAAGGAAAGUGAAAACCAGAUUCUUGAACUGAANNNNNNNNNNNNNNNNNNNNNNNNNNNNNNNNNNNNNNNNNNNNNNNNNNNNNNNNNNNNUAAACAGGAGCUACAGUGAAGAUGAUGGAUGUCAGGAGAAUGAUCUUCAUUUUGUCUAGUGUGAGAGAAGAGUUUUUGAGUAGAUUAAUGCAUUGUACAAAACAUAAGAAAAUAAUUAGUUGGUACUUUUACAGGACUUAAUAGUUGCUAUUCAUGCACAUUCACACACAGAUGACACAGCAUUGGGCUUCAGUUCAUCUUGAAAAAGAAUAGUUCAACAUGCCAGGGAUCGAACCAACAAACUUCCGAUUAGUGGACCACCCAUUCCACCCAUAUUAUUCAGCAUGUCUAAUUAAAUUUUAUUUGUGUUUGUAUUUUAUUCAUUACUUUCAUAUUGUUUCAUUAUUUGAUGGGUUGCUUUUGUCUUAUUGUGAAACACUUUGUAAUUGAAACAUAGAGAAAUGUGCUCUAUAAAAAAACUUAAAUUUGGAAGACAGAUGUCCCAAUGUCGGUUGAUUAGUUACAGUAAGUCAUAAUCAUACAUUAAAACAAUAAUUUAUUUUCUCACCUGCUCGGACCAGCUCGCCUCUGUACUGCUGUGUCAGUCUGGGGGGGAUCAGUACCAACUGAAGUCUCAGCCUAAAGUCAAAAAUAUUUCUCCCUUUUGACACUUCCUUGUCUUGUAAACACUGAUGACUGCAACCAAUCAUUUUAAUCCAAGCCAAAGAGAUUAACAGCCUAUCAAAGAACUGCAAGCUAUACCCUUACUAUAUAUGUCUAUGACAAUAAGUGCAUGCACACCAACAGAUUCCUGUCACUGAGGAAGUGGUGUUUUGUGGUGAGCUAGUGUAUGUGUGAAGCUGUUGGACGAGUUACUGUUGAUAACACCUAAUGCAAGAAAAUGCUAAGAAAGAAGCAUAAGCAAGGGCUUCUUGUAAGUAAAUGCAAAAAUACUGCACAUGAUCUGUAACCCACCCAGUGAAUAGAUACAGAAAAGACGUGAAGAUGUGAAAACCGCUCUGUGUGUGUGUGUGUGUGUGUGUGUGUGUGUGUGUGUGUAUGUGUACUGUGACAUGCAGCUGAGUGGAAGCACAAUGACGUCUUCAAAUGUUAAAAAGGCCAAAAGCUUCCAUAAUGCUACAAAAAG